rnacentral:lncRNA from 1 species
UGGAACCACUACUGCGGACAGUCUAGAUUUUUAAAUAGUUCAAAAAGUAAAAGAAAGAAAAUUAAUUACAAUAGGCCUGAAGGAGGAAGGAAGUUGGACUGUUUGGAAAAAGACGGCGGAGGAUCUAGCUGUCAUUUGAAAAAUCAAAAUUGAGACUGUCAGUUUCAAGAGUGAGUUAAAAUUGCAUAAUCCAAGUAAAUACAACAAUCUUGGUGAAAUAUUUGUUUUAUUAAAAUAAAUCAUAUUAUUAUAUUAAAACAUGUGUCAUGUCAUAUUUCAAAAAAAUAUCAUUUAGCAUGUACGAGACAAGUACCUCAACAAAAUCCUGGACUCCAAUACUAUUAGCCAAUUUGCUCUCUUAUUCCAAUAAGAGUGGCGCCCAGAGAGCGAAGCUCAACCAGGGUCCUUAAAUCCAGUUUGGACACUUAAUUUCCAAUUUAUCCGGCACCUAAAGAGUAAUGUUGGACCAGAGACCUUUCCUUCGGCAACCAAAUUUCCACAGCCCAAAGAGUUAUACUCGACCAGGACACAUCACAAAAAUAUUUCCUUAUUACCUGUCUCUGAUUUAUACUGGUGCACACGUGGUACCGAUACAACCUAUCAGGUGGCAUGUUCUAUUGCCGCCUCAUUCUGAGUCAUAAUACAAUCAUAACAUUAAUAAUAUGAAAAAUUGUAUAGAUCGCAGGAAUUCUUAAUAUUAUUCAAUAAAUUAUUAAGUAUUUAAAUUAAAUAGCAUCGAAUAUAUGGAUCGCUAUAAUAAUAAUAAUGAGAUUUAUGAUGGUAAAAUAAUAAUUAAAUAAAUGAUAAAUAAAUAAAUCAAGAAAUAAUUAAUUAAUUAAUUAAAUAUAUAAUAAAUAAUAAAAAAUUUAGACAAUAUCCAUAAUAACAAAAAAUAGUUAAUAAUGAUAAUAAUACUAAUAAUAUUCGUAAUAAUUAUUAACAAAAAAUGUUGCAUUAAAAUUUGGCAUGGCACAUAUGCAAACAUUAUAUAACUUUAACUCAUAGUUCUGACGACCCCUUGCUCUGCUUCUAUGCCUCAGGUGGAGCUGACUGAAUCGACGGGUUAUCUAUUCACGGAAAUAAUACAAUCAAUAAAAAUAAAAUAUUUAGUAAACAACCCUAAGCCUAGACUCCUAGAAUUGACUGCUUAAAGAAAUUCCGACUGAUUCGACUUAGAAAUUCUACCAAAAAUUUGGCAGAAUCUUUCAUAAAAUAUAGACUGUUAACCCCCGUAAAACGGGUCCAAAUCCUGCUAAAAAACACUUCAAAUAUUCAUUACAUAAUUAUUAGGAAUCGAGUCACCCAUAACUGCAUUAUUUUUCCGACUCUACAAUACAACACAGAUCUCAAUUAAUAAUAGACAGUCCAAUAUUAGCAUUUAUUUCACAACUAGUUCACAAAUAAUUCUUGGUAUCUAAUUUAAUUAUUCGCAACCAUAAUGAUCGCAAAACCAAAUAAUAACUAAUCAUACUAAUUAAUUCAUAAUAUUUAUAAUUAAAUUAUUAAUUAAUUAAAUCUAAUUAAAUUAUUUAUAAUUGAUAAUUAAUAGUAAUAAGAUUUCUUAAAAUUCUAAAAUAAUUUUUAAGAUCCAAAUAAAAUUUAGUGCACGUCUAAAAAAACACCGGAGUCCAAAAGCCGGUACAAAAAACGGUGUCAGAGUUCGAAUCUGAAGGUGCCUACGUGAAGCUUGAGUUGUGAGGAGUCUGAAUAUACAAUUGUUUCUAUUGAAAUCUCGCCGGAAGCCACCGGAUCGAGGCCAGAAAGUUUUGGCUCCGGUGAAGCUCAUACACCAGGAGAGGAAGGAGAACCUAAUUCAUCUCUUAAAAUUCCUCAUAAAGGCCAUAACCAACUUCUUUAGUUAUGUACCCGCCUUUCUCUAUUUUGAGUAAUCCCUCAUACUCGUCAAGUAAAGCCUCACUUUGAUCACUUAUCUGCAUCUCGUGCAAUCAACAUGCUUUGGUUGAGAAAGACCCCUCAAAAUAAUGCUCCUAACCAAAUGGCGUUCCCUCAUUAAUAGGAUCCGACUCGGAAUCCCCCCUUUGCAUGACCUAGAAAGAAAAAAAGUCCGUUGGGGGGAGAAAAACAGGAAAGAAGGGUUGCCUUGGUUUUUUGGAGUCUAGGACCCCGUUUCCAGCAUCAGAUUGAUGAAGGGAUGUCAGGAGGAGGUCGAACCGGUGGUGGCAGCGGGGAGACGUCUUCUCCUCCCUGCUGCAGCGGAAUCUAGUGAGAGUGAAGGGAAGUGAGCGGCGCCGGCUAAAAAGGAAGAAGGAUAGAGGCGUUUAUCGGUGGCUGGUGGUAAGGGACGACAAAAAUGAGGAUGAGGAUGGGGCUGUGUGGCGGGGAAGGAAGGAGGAAGGAGAGGAAAAAAGAGAGAGAGAGAGAGAGAGAGAGAGUGAGAGGCCUCAAUGCAUAUUCUUUCCUUCUUCUUCUUUUUUUUUUUUUUAAAAAUUUCGCUCUAGUCCCCCGUCUUAAUUGAGCUACAAAAACACCCCCACUUAAAAUACAUUACAUUUAUAUGAUAAUUAGUCACAACAAUUUAACUUAAUAAAAUUACACUUAUUUAUUUAAAUUCAC